rnacentral:misc_RNA from 1 species
GUGAAAUAUCAAUGCUGAAUCUGUAUUAUAAAAGAUAAUCAUUUAUCUGUGCAUCAAUAGCUUCAAAUACAAAAUUCAAGGGUACAAUACAAAUUCCCCUAACAAGUUAGUAUUGCUUAUAGAUUGAAAUGGAUAAGGCGGCACACCAGAACUAAAUGCACUCAACGAAACAAGAUUCUCGACGCACUCUCAGAAUCCCCCCCUCCCCUCCAAAAGAAAAAAGAAA